UGAGGCCUGGAUCCCCAAUUCACCCCUCCAGGCUCGCCGGGGCGCACAGGGCCCCUCGCCCCUCCCCCGCCCGGCCCGGCCCGGCCUCGGGCUCAGCCCCACGGCGACCGAGCAUCCCCCGCUCCCCGCCGCCCUGCCCGGCCUGGGCCGAGGCCUCGCCACGGCCUGCCCGGCCCGGCCACUCUCCGCAGGCCUCGCGGUACCUGAGACUCCCGUCCUCGGCUUCCGCCGAGAGGGAGAGAGGGCGUCGCUUCGGCCCCGGGCCAGCCGCCCCUGGCUCGCCCUCGCCCCCGAGAGUCCGCCUGGGUGGGAGCGCCCGUCCGUCGCAUCGCUUUCCUCAGCUCCGUCCGUCCCCUCCCUGCCUCGCUCCUGCCGGGAAACGCCCGCCCCACCCCCAACUCCCGGUCUCCUCCCACGCCGGCGUCCACGGCCUUUUUUCUGUACCUUGUCGGAGUGGAAAUGGCGCCGCGCGGGGAACUAAGGUUCACGCUCAGGGGGUCUCGGGCAGACCAGCUGAGAGAAGGCGCACACACGCGGGGACGCAAGAUGGCAGCUAGAGGGAGGCCGGAAGUAACGCGACGCCACUUCCUCCAGAAUUCAGGAAGCGGAGUUGGCGUCGCCGCGCAUGCGCAGCCGGGGGCCGGUCCGCGGCUGUUUCUUUCCUUUCGUCCAGCGGCGGGCCGGGAGCAGCACCGGAGAGCUGGGACCCGCGGUCGCCGUCCGCGGUCCUGGGAAAGGCCGCGGAUAGAUCGGACAGUGAGGCUCCCUGUAGAGCUGUGGUUAAAUCAGUCUGCCCUGUGGCCACCCCGUAGGGCGUCCAGCUUUGUCCAGUAGGCUGCAGUGUCUGCUCAAUGCCGGGUGUAAAUAAAAAACUAUCGAAAUCAGCCAGGCUAAUGUUGCUUUCCAAAAUUAAGUGACUUGGGUGAUGUAGAAAUCGCGACUCAGAAUGUCUAGAAAGCAUGUUCGGAAUGCUUUCCAGAUCUCCACCCUUCAGCAAUUCGGUUUAUUCAAGGUUGAAACAGGGUAACAAGAUUUGUAACCUCUUAACCCUUCUACACCUCUACCAUCGACUCCCUGAUCUCGAAUCGUCAUGGAUUCGACCAUGAAGCAUUCACGAUGGAGCAAACUUUACCUUGAAUUCUUCCAAGAUGAAUUUGAGCCUGCGUGCUUGGGGGUAAAAACGUGGCUGUGAGUUAAAGUUUGCCGAACUCCAGCACGAA
rnacentral:lncRNA from 1 species